rnacentral:rRNA from 1 species
UGCAGUCGAGGGGUAGAAGUCUUCGGACUUUGAGACCGGCGCACGGGUGCGUAACGCGUAUGCAAUCUACCUUUUACAGAGGGAUAGCCCAGAGAAAUUUGGAUUAAUACCUCAUAGUAUAUAGACUCGGCAUCGAGAUUAUAUUAAAGUCACAACGGUAAAAGAUGAGCAUGCGUCCCAUUAGCUAGUUGGUAAGGUAACGGCUUACCAAGGCUACGAUGGGUAGGGGUCCUGAGAGGGAGAUCCCCCACACUGGUACUGAGACACGGACCAGACUCCUACGGGAGGCAGCAGUGAGGAAUAUUGGACAAUGGGCGCAAGCCUGAUCCAGCCAUGCCGCGUGCAGGAUGACGGUCCUAUGGAUUGUAAACUGCUUUUAUACGAGAAGAAACACUCCUUCGUGAAGGAAUUUGACGGUAUCGUAAGAAUAAGGAUCGGCUAACUCCGUGCCAGCAGCCGCGGUAAUACGGAGGAUCCAAGCGUUAUCCGGAAUCAUUGGGUUUAAAGGGUCCGUAGGCGGUUUGGUAAGUCAGUGGUGAAAGCCCAUCGCUCAACGGUGGAACGGCCAUUGAUACUGCCAGACUUGAAUUAUUAGGAAGUAACUAGAAUAUGUAGUGUAGCGGUGAAAUGCUUAGAGAUUACAUGGAAUACCAAUUGCGAAGGCAGGUUACUACUAAUGGAUUGACGCUGAUGGACGAAAGCGUGGGUAGCGAACAGGAUUAGAUACCCUGGUAGUCCACGCCGUAAACGAUGGAUACUAGCUGUUGGAAGCAAUUUCAGUGGCUAAGCGAAAGUGAUAA